UAAGAAGCGAAGAAGAAGAAGAAGAAGAAGAAGAAGAAGAAGAAGAAGAAGAGACCAUGGGGAUCGCUAAUCUCUCAUACGAGGAAUGCCGCCAUAAGAGACUCGAAGAAAACAAGAAGCGGAUGGAAGCCCUAAAUCUGCCUUUGCUUUCUCAAGCUCUCCUCCAUUCUUCCCCUUCCAAAUCCUCGCCUAGUAAGCUCGCCAAGCCUCGCGUGACGCAGAAACAACUCGUAGUGGUGAGGAGAUCCAGCCGCAUAGCUAAACAAUCCGCCCCCGUUUACGCCGAAGUUGUUGUAAAUCGUGUGGUGAUUCCUAGAAGGAUCUCCAAUGCUAGAGAUCUUUCAAAUCGAGUUUAUUCUUCGGAUGAAGCAAGAAAAAAUGCCUUUGAAAGAGCUGAGCGAUUACAAUCUGGAUUAGAGACGAAUUAUCCCAAUUUUAUAAGGUCGAUGCUUCCAUCUCAUGUUAGUGGUGGAUUCUGGCUGGGCCUUCCUUCUCAUUUCUGCAAGACGCACCUUCCAAAUCGCGAUGGAAUUGUGACAUUAAUAGAUGAAGAUGGAGAUGAGUAUCCAACAGUAUAUUUAGCACGAAAAACAGGACUUAGUGGCGGAUGGAAGGGCUUUUCAGUUGCUCAUAAAUUGGCUGAUGGGGAUGCUGUGAUUUUUCAAUUCAUUAAACCUACAACGUGCAAGGUGUACAUCUUUAGAGCGAAUAGUUCCAGAAAAGAUAGCGAUACUAACAGUAGCUAAAUGACCGACAGUUUCAUCCCAACUCAGGAAGAGCCAGCCUCCCUCUGUAUUUGGGCAAGAUGUUGUCUGGUGGAACGUGCACAUAAUGGCAGCUACUUUUUUUUGUCAUCUUGGUUUUGGAGCACAACGGCAACCUUUCUCUUGUACAAUCUGUCUCUAUGAAGUAAAUGCAAACACUAUGUAUGUUAGAGUGCUUGUCUGCUGUAGUGGUACCUCUCUUCUUCUCUUACUCUCUCUCUCUCUCUCUCUAUCACCUUUAGUUUAGUUUAGGCUGUAUUGUUGUGAGCUGGUAGAGAUUUGACUGAUUUGGAAGGA